rnacentral:rRNA from 1 species
UACAGAGGUCCCGAGCGUUGUUCGGAUUCACUGGGCGUAAAGGGUGCGUAGGUGGUCCGUUAAGUCAGUUGUGAAAUCCCCGGGCUCAACCCGGGAAAUGCUUCUGAUACUGGCGGACUUGAGGCCAGUAGGGGUCACUAGAACUGACGGUGGAGCGGUGAAAUGCGUAGAUAUCGUCAGGAAUGCCGGUGGUGAAGACGGGUGACUGGGCUGGUUCUG